AUGGGAGGAUCGGGGAAACUGCUUUCAACUUUAACCAACUCCUCUGGAGAGGAGGUGGUGGGUCCAGGGUUACGCCAUUUCCUAGAGCUGGUUCCUCCUCUUCCGGCUGAUGAUGACUUAGAGUUGUCUUGGUAUUGCGGCCCAGGAGGCCUUGGGCCUACGGAGCGGGCAGGAAAGGAGAGACGCGGGCUCCUUUUCCAUCUUCUACAGCGAAGGUUUGAGCAACAGAGGUUAAUUCAAAGAAUGGAAAUCAUAACCAUCCCUUUCAAGUUUUCACCAUUGGCCAAUUUGGCAUAAUUUUGGAAAAAAGAUUGAAUAAAAGCAAUUGCUAACAGGAAAGGGCAGGUUCAAAUGAUGCAGAGCAAAUCCAAGGAAUCAGCAUUAAUAUGUGUACAAUUGCAUAUUGUGCCGAAGCAUUAUUUUAUGUAUGUUUCUUUGUUAGAAG
rnacentral:lncRNA from 1 species